AGAGUGCGUAAUAGCUCACUAGUCGAGAGGUCCUGCGCCGAAAAUUUCCGGGGCUAAAACACGAUACCGAAGCUUAGGAAUGUAGCAAUACAUUGGUAGAGGAGCAAUCUCAGAGUGCCGAAGCGUUACCGUAAGGAAGCGUGGAGUUCUGAGAAGAGAGAAUGCCGGAAUGAGUAGCGAGAAUGAUGUGAGAAUCAUCAUGGCCGAAUAUCCAAGGAUUCCAGGGUAAAGCUGAUCUGCCCUGGGUAAGUCGGGACCUAAGGCGAGGGAGAAAUCCGUAGUCGAUGGACAGCAGGUUCAUAUUCCUGCACCUGACAUGAUCAGAACUGUGGGGACACAGGAACAAAACCGGACCCGGGAGAGCAAAGACCGGGCGAAGCGAAGCUAGGAGUGCGGUAGGCAAAUCCGCCGCACAAUCCGAAAGCGUGAUAGGGAGCGAAAAAUAAGUAGCGAAGCCGGUGGAGGGACUGUCGAGAAAAGCCGCUAUUGUAUCAUGUCAGCCCGUACCGCAAACCGACACAGGUGGAUGAGGAGAGAAUCCUAAGGCCGGCGGGAGAAGCAUUGUUAAGGAACUCGGCAAAAUGACCCCGUAACUUCGGGAGAAGGGGUGCUGCAGAGAUGCAGCCGCAGAGAAAAGGCUCAAGCAACUGUUUAGCAAAAACACAGGUCUAUGCGAAACCGUAAGGUGAGGUAUAUGGGCUGACGCCUGCCCGGUGCUGGAAGGUUAAGAGGAGAGGUUAGCGCAAGCGAAGCUUUGAAUUUAAGCCCCAGUAAACGGCGGCCGUAACUAUAACGGUCCUAAGGUAGCGAAAUUCCUUGUCGGGUAAGUUCCGACCCGCACGAAAGGCGUAAUGAUUUGAGCGCUGUCUCAACAAUGCACCCGGUGAAAUUGAAGUACCAGUGAAGAUGCUGGUGACCUGCGCCAGGACGGAAAGACCCCAUGGAGCUUUACUCCAGCUUGAUACCGGGAUUCGGUGUUACUCGUACAGGAUAGGUGGGAGGCUAAGAAGGAAGGACGCCAGUCUUUCCGGAGCCGCUGUUGGGAUACCACCCCUGUGGCACUGGAUUUCUAACCUACAUCCGUAAUCCGGAUGGGGGACAAUGUCAGGUGGGGAGUUUGACUGGGGCGGUCGCCUCCGAAAGAGUAUCGGAGGCGCUCAAAGGUUCCCUCAGAAUGGUUGGAAACCAUUCGAAGAGCGCAAAGGCAGAAGGGAGCUUGACUGCGACACCGACGGGUGGAGCAGGUACGAAAGUAGGACUUAGUGAUCCGGUGGUAUAAAGUGGGAUUGCCAUCGCUCAACGGAUAAAAGCUACCCUGGGGAUAACAGGCUUAUCACUCCCAAGAGUUCACAUCGACGGAGUGGUUUGGCACCUCGAUGUCGGCUCAUCGCAUCCUGGGGCUGAAGUCGGUCCCAAGGGUUGGGCUGUUCGCCCAUUAAAGCGGUACGCGAGCUGGGUUCAGAACGUCGUGAGACAGUUCGGUCCCUAUCCGGCGCGGGCGUAAGAUAUCUGAGAGGAGCUGUCCUUAGUACGAGAGGACCGGGAUGGACUGACCACUGGUGCACCGGUUGGGGAGCAACCCCAUGGCCGGGUAGCCAAGUCGGGACGGGAUAAACGCUGAAGGCAUCUAAGCGUGAAGCCCCCCUCAAGAUGGGAUAUCUCAUGCGAAAGCGGUAAGACCCCUUGA
rnacentral:rRNA from 1 species